GAUUGUAAAACGAUUCUUCUAUUAGUGCUUUUAUUUUGGUUUUUCAUCUCUUUUGAUAGUCUAGGUUUGACAAGAAAAAAAGAGGGAUUCAAUGUAGGCACUAUUGUUUGUUUGAAAAGGUUUACAAUGCUAUUAAUAAUUACGUCGUAAAACAACAACAACAACAACAGACCCAGUCCCAGUGUAUUCCCACCAAAUUGGGUCUGGGGAGGGUAAGAUGUACACAGACCAUACCACUACCUCCGAGGAAGUAGAGAGGUUGUUUCCGAUAGACCCCCGGCUCAAGGUGGAGUUGACCUAUCCUUUUUUCUUUCUUUCUUUUAAUUUUGGUAUGCUUUUAAUGGACAGUGUUUUGAAACGGUAAACAACUUCUCACUUAUCUUCCUUCUUUUUUUAUAUGAUGAUUUGGGUAUUUGUUUAUUGAAUUAUUGUAUUCAUUGAUUUGUGUAUCUAAUCAACCUUGUUUGUAUAAUACCACAAUAAAUAUAGAAUGAUUAGUCUUAACUUAUAAUAAAUCCCUGCAUGCACCUUAUUGAUUUGUUUGACUGUGGAAUUAUGGGGUUGUUGUUUGUUGGUUUCUCACAAACUUUUUGAAUCAAGUAACAUUAGGUGCAUGAGGUAAUGAUGUUUUUCUUAUAAAUCAGGAGUGAGAGGGAAAAUAAGGAACUUCUUUCAAUCUAAAAAGAAGUUAGAGUUUGGAAAAGAAGAUAAAAAGGAAUAGUUUCAUGUUUUUGGUUGGGCACCUUGAUGUUUGGCCUGUUUUGAGCUUGUAAGUCCUUUCUUUUAAAACUUUUUUUUAUUAAAAGAAGUCCUCUCUUUUGAUAAAGUUAAUUUGAAAUUUUUUUGUUAGGUUUGUAAAAUUUAAAAUCAAGAAUCUAUUAGGUUUUGAUGCAGAUUCGGUUGGACUUCGAGAAUCUUUUGUAUACAUAUGAACAUUCAAUCAGGCUUUGAGGAAUUUUAUAUAGGUUAUAUUUAAUCAUAUUGUUUUUACAUUUUCAUUAUCGUAUUGUGUUAUUGUAAUGUCGAUGGAUGUUCGUAAGGAACUUUUUGUAAAAGUUAUGUUAUCUUGAUUAUCGCGAUGGUAGAUGAAUAUUCGAUCGGUACGUUUGUCCUAUAUUUUGAAAGAACAAAAACAAUGUAUAAAAAGAGUAACAGUUAUACAAAAACAAAUAUAGUUACAGAUUGCUUCAGCUUAUGAGCGGGAGAAUACGCUAUCUACAGUUUAGAUCUCCCACAUCCUCUUCCCAAUUAUAUUUUGAUUAAUAUAGCUAGACACGUUAUGGAAGGACUAUUGUACCUUUGCUAUACAGAUCUAGCAUCUAGCAUUUAUUUUUGUUACGAUUCUUUUUCGAUUAAAGUUAUUCGAGGCGUGCUUAAUCCUAGAUGUGACAAAUACAUCAUUUAGUUUACAAAAUGUCUUACUUAUGCCGACAUGCAUUUAUGAUGAUAAGUUGGGUUGGUGCACAAACACUGUGAUUACACAAAAUGAAAUCCAGAGUGUUACAAUGUUAAGAAG
rnacentral:lncRNA from 1 species